UACAGAGGUGGCAAGCGUUGUUCGGGAUUACUGGGCGUAAAGGGCGCGUAGGCGGUCCGAUAAGUCCCGUGUGAAAUCCCUCGGCUCAACUGAGGAAUGGCACGGGAAACUGACGGGCUUGAGUUCGGGAGAGGGAAGCGGAAUUCCGGGUGUAGCGGUGAAAUGCGUAGAUAUCCGGAGGAACACCGGUGGCGAAGGCGGCUUCCUGGACCGACACUGACGCUGAGGCGCGAAAGCUAGGGGAGCAAACGGG
rnacentral:rRNA from 1 species